GAUGAACGCUGGCGGCGUGCUUAACACAUGCAAGUCGAGCGAAGCACUUAAGUCUGAUUCUUCGGAUGAAGACUUUUGUGACUGAGCGGCGGACGGGUGAGUAACGCGUGGGUAACCUGCCUCAUACAGGGGGAUAACAGUUAGAAAUGACUGCUAAUACCGCAUAAGACCACGGUACCGCAUGGUACAGUGGUAAAAACUCCGGUGGUAUGAGAUGGACCCGCGUCUGAUUAGGUAGUUGGUGGGGUAACGGCCUACCAAGCCGACGAUCAGUAGCCGACCUGAGAGGGUGACCGGCCACAUUGGGACUGAGACACGGCCCAGACUCCUACGGGAGGCAGCAGUGGGGAAUAUUGCACAAUGGAGGAAACUCUGAUGCAGCGACGCCGCGUGAAGGAUGAAGUAUUUCGGUAUGUAAACUUCUAUCAGCAGGGAAGAAAA
rnacentral:rRNA from 1 species